rnacentral:rRNA from 1 species
CCUACGGGUGGCAGCAGUGAGGAAUAUUGGUCAAUGGGCGAGAGCCUGAACCAGCCAAGCCGCGUGAGGGAGGACGGUACUGUGUAUUGUAAACCUCUUUUGUCGGGGAACAAAAGCGGGGACGUGUCCCCGGAUGAGUGUACCUGAAGAAAAAGCAUCGGCUAACUCCGUGCCAGCAGCCGCGGUAAUACGGAGGAUGCGAGCGUUAUCCGGAUUUAUUGGGUUUAAAGGGUGCGUAGGCGGUCUGUUAAGUCAGCGGUCAAAGUGCGUGGCUCACCCCCGGCCCGCCGUUGAAACUGGCAGUCUCUAGUUGGAGAGAAGUACGCGGAAUGCGCGGUGUAGCGGUGAAAUGCAUAGAUAUCGCGCAGAACUCCGAUUGCGAAGGCAGCGUACCGGCUCCACACUGACGCUGAGGCACGAAAGCGUGGGUAUCGAACAGGAUUAGAUACCCUUGUAGUC